rnacentral:rRNA from 1 species
AACGAACGCUGGCGGCAGGCCUAAAACAUGCAAGUCGAGCGGGCAUAGCAAUAUGUCAGCGGCGGACGGGUGAAUAACACGUGGGAACAUGCCCUUUGGUACGGAACAACUCAGGGAAACUUGAGCUAAUACCGUAUGUGCCGGUAACGGGAAAGAUUUAUCGCCAAAGGAUUGGCCCGCGUCUGAUUAGCUAGUUGGUGGGGUAAAGGCCUACCAAGGCGACGAUCAGUAGCUGGUCUGAGAGGAUGAUCAGCCACACUGGGACUGAGACACGGCCCAGACUCCUACGGGAGGCAGCAGUAGGGAAUCUUGCGCAAUGGGCGAAAGCCUGACGCAGCCAUGCCGCGUGAAUGAUGAAGGUUCUUAGGAUUGUAAAAUUCUUUCAGCGGGGACGAUAAUGACGGUACCCGCAGAAGAAGCCCCGGCUAACUUCGUGCCAGCCGCCGCCGU